ACCCAAGUACCGGUAGGUACGACGGUUGGUGCUAGUGUUGCCGUCAGCUCGUGUCGUGAGAUGUUGGGUUAAGUCCCGCAACGAGCGCAACCCCUAUUGUUAGUUGCCAUCAUUCAGUUGGGCACUCUAGCGAGACCGCCGGUAAUAAACCGGAGGAAGGUGGGAUGACGUCAAAUCAUCAUGCCCCUUAUGACCUGGGCUACACACGUGCUACAAUGGUUGGUACAACGAGUUGCGAGUCGGUGACGGCGAGCUAAUCUCUUAAAGCCAAUCUCAGUUCGGAUUGUAGGCUGCAACUCGCCUACAUGAAGUCGGAAUCGCUAGUAAUCGCGGAUCAGCACGCCGCGGUGAAUACGUUCCCGGGCCUU
rnacentral:rRNA from 1 species